rnacentral:rRNA from 1 species
UACAGAGACUGCAAGCGUUAUUCGGAUUCACUGGGCGUAAAGGGUGCGCAGGCGGUUAUGUGUGUUAGGUGUGAAAGCCCGAGGCUCAACCUCGGAAUUGCGCCUAAAACUACAUGACUAGAGUACCGGAGAGGAUAGCGGAAUUCACGGAGUAGCAGUGAAAUGCGUAGAUAUCGUGAAGAACACCAGCGGCGAAGGCGGCUAUCUGGAAGGUAACUGACGCUCAGGCACGAAAGCGUGGGGAGCAAAAGGG